AUGCAGGCCAAGUUUUAGAUUUAAUACAGUUAUCUGUAAUCGAAUGCAAAGUGAUUUAAUCUUACUACUUUGUCAUCAUUUUGUGUAUAAUUUGUUAAAAGAAAGAUUUAUCCUCUUUUGUAGAUCAACAGUUGAUAUUUUAUGUAUACUUCAGACUAUAAACAUAGAUGUGAAGCAAUAGACUAUUUUCAUAUGACCGACUUUUGACCCCGGUUUAAAUUUUUUUUGACAGGUUACCUACAGCAUCCUGGUACUCAAUUAAGAGCAGUCAUAUUAGUAAAAUGAAACAUUUAAUCAGUGUAAAUUGGGGGGAAAUUUUACUAUUUUCCGAUGAGUUUGUAUGAAGCAGUAUAUUUUCCCCAAGAAUUGUACAGAUUAAAAGCUUGAUACCACUUCUUUAUGAUGCUCUAACUUGACUUGGUACCAGGAUGUCCUAGGAAACCUGUUGAAAAAAUAUAAACUUCGGAUUCAAGUCGGUAAUACAAGAAAUAGUAAAUUUUAUGCUGUGUGUACAUGUACACUUCAGAAUAAAAUCAAAAUUUACUAAAAAACAAACAGAUAUUAAGAUGAAUAUGUGAUGUUUUUUGUCUAUUGAAAUAUUCACAUAUCAGUAUUUUUUUGUGUUGUUCAAAUUACGAAUUUUCAGAUUGAUAGAUUUUUAUAUUGAUCAUCAAAGUUAAACUUGUGAUAUCUUUACUUUAUAUUUAUUGCUAUUGAAAAUAUAUGUAUAGCCACAUUUUUAACCAUGUUAAAAGUUUUUU
rnacentral:lncRNA from 1 species